CUCCGUAGCCUACUCCUGAUCUGAAUAAUGAUUCGCGAGCCAUAAUAUUGAAUCGGUUUGUCUGUUCCUGCCAUGUUUACACGACACUGUCAGUAGGCUACUAGCUCGCUAGUUUUAUGACAUUAACUGAAAUAAGCGAAAAAGCAUGAUGUUUACAACUACAAAUAAAAUAUCCAUAAUUCCAUUCCAAAUAUAACAUCCAAUGGAAUCGAAUCGAACAUUUUCAGACAGGAAGUACAUGCUUCCACUUGCUGCUGUCCUGAAUGAAGGUCACACUUGUUACCUCAGUUCUUCCACGAUCAGAGUCUGGGCCGCUGGAGGAUGAAGUUAUGAGCCGAUAUAUCUGGAAGCAGUGGCGCAGACCUCAGAAUGGACCCGUGGAACAGUUAAAGCCCAGUUCCCCCCUCCUGCCACAGGAGUCUUUGUGGAGCCCGUCAGUCAGGUCAUCAGAGAGACAGUCAGCACAGACACGGAGCAGAAGAUUUAUAGCUGUGAGGUGAGAGCAGAAAAACCAACAACAUAUGGGUUUGGAACAACAUGAGGGUGAAUAAAUGAUGACAGAAUUUUCAUUUUUGAGUGAACUGUCCCUUUAAAAACAUCAAGGAAAGACCAGAGAGAUCUUUUGGAAAAAAGUCUGGGUUCUAUUUGUCGCCAUUAACUUUAUCCAUUUGGAAAGAAUGGAAAAUCUUCUCAUGGGACCCUUGGUCACACUCCGGUUCUCCCAUAUAUUUCUGCUGUCUCAAGCAACAAGUCCUUUCACAACGAGCACACAGGAAGAACCAAGGCUAUCCAGAAUGCUGGAAUAGUUUACACCUCCCCGGAGGAGCAUCAUUUAAACAUGGACGGCACUAAUUGCACUCACCCGGGAGAGGAUGGAGAGUAGAACGGAAAGUUUCAAAGACAGAUGUGAAAAGCGAACACCCCUUCAGUAGCUGAGCACAUAAGCCACCAAAUGUUUUUUUUCUUUGAACAUUUAUUUAUUUAUUUAUUUAUUUAUUUUAAUUUUCCUAAUUAUUAUUUGUUUUUAGUGAUUUAAAAAAAUCACCAAAAACAUCAUUUUGGAAGCAUAUUCAUUUUCUUUUCGAAAGUCUUAUUAAUCCCGAUAUCCCAUUUCAGAUGAUCACAAUAACCUUUAGCACUAUUUCAUGGCUGUGGCUUUCCCUAUUUUUAUUUUAUUUUUUUAUUUUAUGUUAUUUUUAUUUUAUUUUAUUUACAAAUUAUUAAAUUGUUUUAAAAUUUAAUAAGUAAUUUUUCAUUAUUGUGACUGAA